rnacentral:rRNA from 1 species
AGAGUUUGAUCAUGGCUCAGGAUGAACGCUAGCGGCAGUAAUACAUGCAAGUCGUGGGGCAGCAUGAGUGUAGCAAUACAUUUGAUGGCGACCGGCAAACGGGUGCGGAACACGUACGCAACCUUCCUUUAACUGGAGAAUAGCCCGGGGAAACCCGGAUUAAUACUCCGUAACAUUAUGAAGUGGCAUCACUUUAUAAUUAUAGCUCCGGCGGUUAAAGAUGGGCGUGCGUCUGAUUAGGUAGUUGGCGGGGUAACGGCCCACCAAGCCUACGAUCAGUAACUGGUGUGAGAGCACGACCAGUCACACGGGCACUGAGACACGGGCCCGACUCCUACGGGAGGCAGCAGUAAGGAAUAUUGGUCAAUGGACGCAAGUCUGAACCAGCCAUGCCGCGUGGAGGAUGAAGGUCCUCUGGAUUGUAAACUUCUUUUAUCUGGGAAGAAACCCAAGGUUUCCACUUUGGCUGACGGUACCAGAUGAAUAAGCACCGGCUACUCCGUGCCAGCAGCCGCGGUAAUACGGAGGGUGCAAGCGUUAUCCGGAUUCACUGGGUUUAAAGGGUGCGUAGGUGGGCAGGUAAGUCAGUGGUGAAAUCUCCGGGCUUAACCCGGAACUGCCGUUGAUACUAUCUGCCUUGAAUAUCGUGGAGAUGAGCGGAAUAUGUCAUGUAGCGGUGAAAUGCUUAGAUAUGACAUAGAACACCGAUUGCGAAGGCAGCUCGUUACACGGUUAUUGACACUGAGGCACGAAAGCGUGGGGAUCAAACAGGAUUAGAUACCCUAGUAGUCC